AUUCUUUAUUCUUUAUUCUUUAUUCUUUAUUCUUUAUUCUUUAUUCUUUAUUCUUUAUUCUUUAUUCUUUGCUAAGGGCACUCGCACCUUAGGCGCAUUAUACACAUUUGCCAUUCUUUAUAACAUUAACAAACGUUUCUCAAUUGUCAUUCUUUCUCAAUUGUCAUUCUUUCACAGGGUUACCUUUACCCUAGCCAACUAUGCCACUCGACUCGGUCUUGAGUCAAUUCAUAAUGAAUACAAGAUCCACUUUCCAAUCCAUGAUUCCUUUUUGUUCUUUGUUCUUUAAUCUCACGGCUAACCCGGGGGUUUCGCCACAUUAACUUGCUUCACAUUAAGUCCAUCAUCGCAGGAACUCACCAGCUAGGACCGUCCUUACGGGUCUACUCCAACCCGGAUGCCAAACUCCGGAGCGCAUCGCCCGAGGGGGAGCGACCGCCCUCGAGCACGGAACUCAUAGCAAGUAUGAUCAAUCCUUAACUCUAAGGAUAUGUAGUUGGAUCAUGGUUUUACACUAACUCUAGUGUUCUUUACAUCACUUUAUGUUGCCACUCUAGCAAUCAUUGUUCUUUACAUCUCUUUUACUUUUGCUAACUCUAGCAAUCACGUUUUUCACAUUCCUUUACUUUAAGCUAUCUUUAGCUUUCACAUUCUUUAACUUUACACGUUCUUUAUGCCACAUUACAUUACAUUGUCUUUAGCCAUUAUCAUUAUUCUUUACAUCACAUUGCUUUGCCUUGUCUCAAGCCAUUAUCAUUAGGUUCUCACAUUACAUCUCAUGCAUACACAUAGAUUAUUUAGAUUCUUAAUCAUUCUAAUAAGCACGUGUACUCACAUCAUGCAACAUUACAUUAUUAUCAUCACAUUGUUUUACAUUAUCUUUAGCCAUUAUCAUUGUUCUUUACAUCACAUUUAUUCUUUGAUGUCCCACACUAACUCUAGUGUCCACUUUACCAUUUCGAAUGCCACUCGAUCUAUGUUCAACAUGCAUAUAUUUUGUCAUCCAUUGGUAGUCAUUACUUAGCAUUUUAUGCAUUCGUUAACAUUUACUACAUGCAUUCUCGGUUAGUACAAAUCUCAUACUUUCAUUUGACAUCUAUUUAGCAUUUCUAUAAUAUGCACAUAUAAAUUAACAUCAACUCAUGCAUUCAUUUGGCAUCUAUCUUUAUCAUGCAUUCUUAAUUAGCAUACUUUAUCAUGCAUUCUCAAAUAGCAUACUUUAAUCUUUAUCAUGCAUUCUUAAAUAGCAUACUUUAUCAUGCGUCAAUAGUAAACAUACUACACUUUAGCAUGGAAAGCGACCUAAUCGCUUCGGUGAGCACAACCCACCUCAUUUCGCAUUCCGAUUGCUUGUCGACACUUGCAAUCGGCGUCCCGCGGCACCCGUAACCCGGUUUGGCCCGAUCUCUCACGCGACCACCCGAACGGCCUCCAAUUCACGAUCCGAAAAUUAAAGGUCUUCGGUUAUGUGCCACGAAGCUUCAAAUCCAUUUUCAUGAAUUUACGAUAUCGCCUCGGCCCUCCCGGCGGACCUGAAGCCUAAACGUCCGUUUCUUUAAUAACUUCGCAACGGCUCGUCGGAUUGCCGAACCGUCUUCGCCAACGCAUUCGUUUACCUAGCAAUUAGGUUUAUAUAGGGUCAAUUUAGAUCAAACCCUUACAUUUUACAAAACCCCAUUCGGAGCCCUAAUAUGCUAUUAACCUCAAAAUAAUCCAAAAUCAAAUGGAUCAACAUGCUAACAAAGCUCAUUAGAGGCUAUUAGAAUACUUAAAGCUAAGGAUUAAGCCAAAUCCUAAAAGCUUACCUCAAUGUGAACGCCGCGACGACAACACACCGCUCCAACGGGCGCACGAAAGCUCAAUCCGUCGCCUCCAACGCGUUCGCAAGCAUAUUCUCCACCAACCCCGCGAAUUUGAGCGAGAGAUAUAGAGAAAUGAGAGAGAUCUCUAGAGAGAGAAAGAAGGGUUUCUCUCUCCCUUCUCCAUGCGCGCGUGGGUGGCCAUGGUGGUCGGCUGAAGGAGAAAGAAGCAAANNNN
rnacentral:lncRNA from 1 species